UACGGAGGGGGCAAGCGUUGUUCGGAAUUACUGGGCGUAAAGGGCUCGUAGGCGGCCAACUAAGUCAGACGUGAAAUCCCUCGGCUUAACCGGGGAACUGCGUCUGAUACUGGAUGGCUUGAGUUUGGGAGAGGGAUGCGGAAUUCCAGGUGUAGCGGUGAAAUGCGUAGAUAUCUGGAGGAACACCGGUGGCGAAGGCGGCAUCCUGGACCAAUACUGACGCUGAGGAGCGAAAGCCAGGGGAGCAAACGGGG
rnacentral:rRNA from 1 species